AGUGUUGGGAAAGUUCACUUUCUACAUGAACUAGUUCAAAGUUCAGUUCACAAAUUUUAAAAUGAACUAGAUCAGUUCAUAGUUCAUACUUCAAAAUUUUGAACUAAGUUCACAGUUCUUUUUUUCCAUAUGUUGCUGCGAGCUAUUAUUUUUCAAAAUUAUUGCCACAGCCCAUAUAGAACCACAGACAGCAAUUAUUUUCUCAGUUUUAACACUGAAACUAUGCGUCAGAUUUCAUUUUCAUAUCCAAUCAGUUCAACGUGCCGUUUCAGGUUUGCUGUGGAUGUGACUGAAGUGCGGAUUUUCUUUUUGAAAGCCGGCGGGCAAAGUUUGCACAGAAAUGUAAGAUUUUUCUCAUCCUCACUGACCUUGUCAUAAAACUCGUUUAAAUGCUCAUACGAAGCCUCCUUGCUGCUUUUUGUUUUGAUGACCCAAGCAGUGGUGCGACACUGGUGGCUGGUGUUGCCAGAUUGGGUGUUUAUUCCGCUACAUAUUAAGGGCUGUUUACAGUGUUUUUUAGCAGGGUUUUUGCCUGGAAGGCUCUAUAGAAAUCUGGCACCCUAUUGAACGAAGUUAAACUGAGAGAGUGUGCCGUUCACAGACACCAGAAUGGACGAGUUCACAGUAACGUUCAUCAGGCAGUAAUACAGUACGUUCAUAACUUCAUUCAUU